rnacentral:tRNA from 1 species
GGUGAGGUGCUGGAGUGGCCGAACAGGCACGACUGGAAAUCGUGUAUCGUCGCAAGACGGUCGUGGGUUCGAAUCCCACCCUCACCG